AGUAAUGCGUGACCAACCUGCCCCAUGCUCCAGAAUAGCUCUUGGAAACGGGUGGUAAUGCUGGNAUGCUCCAACUUGACGCAUGUCUUGUUGGGAAAGUGUUUAGUGGCAUGGGAUGGGGUCGCGUCCUAUCAGCUUGUAGGCGGGGUAAUGGCCCACCUAGGCUUCGACGGGUAGCCGGCCUGAGAGGGCGAACGGCCACAUUGGGACUGAGAUACGGCCCAGACUCCUACGGGAGGCAGCAGGC
rnacentral:rRNA from 1 species